UACAUAUGGCUCCAUACUUUA
rnacentral:piRNA from 1 species